rnacentral:rRNA from 1 species
AGGUCCGUAGCGGUCCUGACGUGCAAAUCGGUCGUCCGACCUGGGUAUAGGGGCGAAAGACUAAUCGAACCAUCUAGUAGCUGGUUCCCUCCGAAGUUUCCCUCAGGAUAGCYGGCACUCGGAGACGCAGUUUUAUCCGGUAAAGCGAAUGACUAGAGGCCUUGGGGCCGAAACGAUCUCAACCUAUUCUCAAACUUUAAAUGGGUAAGAAGCCCGGCUCGCUGGCUUGGAGCCGGGCGUGGAAUGCGAGUGCCUAGUGGGCCA